rnacentral:lncRNA from 1 species
UCUACACACAGGAAAUGAACUCUCUAACCUAGGAAGUGACCAGGUAAAAAUAUGUCAAGAUAAACUUCAAUAGGACUGCUCAAUCACCCAAAGUCCUGAUACACCUACAACUCAUUAAGUGUAGCUGGCCAGGUGUAUUAGACAGAAGCUGUAUGUAACCUCUUCAAUAGUCAGAGGAUGUCAAAAGGCCUUACUUUGGUUACUGGGACCUGGAAUGAUUGCCAGAAGACAAGGGUGUGAGAGCGUGGGAAGCACUCUGGAAAUGCUUUACCUCCAGGUGUCCCUUCCAAAGAUAUGGUCAAAAACAAAGAGAUCAGCACAAACGAACACAGGUGGAUCUUUUCAGGAGUAUAAGAAACUGGGUUACCUUUGAAUGACCUUGACCUCUGACCCAUUGGUAUUCUGAUGUUAGUAACACCUGUUUCCAUGAAUCUGCUCUAGAAGCUGGCCUAUAGAUGCACAUGAAACACCUGAGGCAGACAAAGGAAGGGUGCUGAAGGACUGAUGAUCUGUGGUCAGCCAUUAUGGGGAGACAUUUUGGCACUAACGAUAAGGUCAUACGUUGACGGUAAAGCACACCAAAUAAGCUAUCCUGAUUGGUUGAGUAUCUGUGGUGAAGAAGACCUGGAGGACGGCCUGGAGGGAGUCGGUUUAUGGGGUGGAGGAGUCAUGUUUUAUAUCCCAGUAAUGAAUUGCUUUCCAGGAGGAGGUGACGUUCAUAGGUGAUCUGGGGAUAGUUUAUGUGGACUGGGAUAUCAUCUUAAAUCACCUCUUACAUUCAAAGCUGUGGCCAAUAUGCUUUAUGAAGUAAGGAAAGUUUAAGAUAGGGAAUCAUAUAUGGCAUUGAAAGACAUGAAAUAUGUACGGCACUAGGUGAAUGUCAGCUUAACAUCUUAUUACAUAAUAAAUGGAAAACAUAUUAGCACUCAAAACUGACAUUAAGGUUUCCUUAGAAGUGUAUGUUAUGAGCCCUCUAGUGGUUCCCUAUAAACUAAGUUUUCCCCUUAUUAGCUUUGAAUAAAUACUAAUAGAUUCGAGGUGGAGGUCAAAUUUUGAAAUAAUAAUGUGUUUAAGAGAGCAAACAGAUAUUUUGAGGAGUAAAAGCAUAGCUAGGAAUUGUGCAUAUGAAACUUCUCAGAAUCAAGAUAUUAAGUUAUUGUUGGUUACAAUUGUGAAAUGAUUGAUGAAGAUGCUCAGAAGAUGCAAUCGUCAUGCAGAAGUAAUUAUACACACCACACAAACUACAAACAUUAUCAUGAAAUAUGUGGAAGACAGAAAAUUGCAUCAAAUUGCAAACCAAAAGGAAAGCAAGCUAAAUUAGGUGCAACAAAGGUCCUG